AUGCCAUGAUGAGGGCAUUUUUGCAAAAACUCUUUAAAUUGCUCCCAUGCCCCAUAUAAAGAUUCUUCAUCAAGUUACUAAAAUUAAAUAAUCUAAUUGUCGAGCUU